ACGUGAUUUAACCGUGACAAUUCAAAUAAGAGGGUUUCUUAUGAUGGGUUUUUAUAUAAUGAAGUCCAGGGAUUCAUGAUAGUUUCUUAUAUUUGAUAACAAAAUUUAAUAUGGAGUUUGAAUGGAUCGAAGCUUUGUUUCUGAUGGUUUAUAUUUUGAUUUAUUUCCUGUAAUUUGAAUACACAUUGUUUUAUUAUUCUUUUCAUAUUAGAGUUUUUAAAUUUUUAUAGGCUUAAUUAUUAGGUUGCUGAAGGAGGAUUUGAAUUCGAUUUUUUUUUCACAAUUCAGACCAUUCAUUAGUUAACACAAAGCAAGGUUUUGAUUGUUUUAGAAAACUUCUGUCUCCUCGCUCUAGAAGAGAAUUGAGAAGAUUCUGAAAGUUGCUUUCAUUCUUUUCAGAUUGUGUGUAAAUUCCAUCUGGGUUCUUCAAAUUCAAGCCCCCCAAAUUUGAGCAGUUUGUGUUACCCGGACUUAUCGAAUCAAGGUAGCUGCAAGGAAAUUUGAGCCUUGGCCUAUAGAGAUACGAUUUUGCAAGGAAGCCAGGUUCCCAUACUGCAGGGGUUUGGAGCCAUGCACUCAUCAAUAUCUGAACAGAAAAAGAAUGAAUUAAAUCCAUGAACAACAGGUAAAAAUUAAAUCCCACUUUUGAGACUUUUUGUUAACAACUUGCUACUAAAAAAAUGCUGAAGGAAACAGUUCAUGAACCCACAGAUUUGAUAAUCCGUGGCUAAUUGGUGGCUACUUUGGCAUCGUCAGCUAAGCUUACAUGUUAUUUUAAUGAUAAGGGUCAUUUUGAUUCUGAUCUCUAGUCAACCUAAUUGUUAUAUUAAAACAUUGUUUAUUUAAAUAUUUUGAUUGAGGUUCCUAGCACUAUUUAAGGGAUUUAACUCCUGCUUCUAUUACAUUAUAUAUGCAAAAAAGUCAAGCAAAUUGGAAA